CCUACGGGAGGCAGCAGUGAGGAAUAUUGGUCAAUGGGCGCGAGCCUGAACCAGCCAAGUCGCGUGAGGGAUGACUGCCCUACGGGUUGUAAACUUCUUUUGUAAAGGAAUAAAGUGAGGCACGUGUGCCUUUUUGUAUGUACUUUAUGAAUAAGGAUCGGCUAACUCCGUGCCCGCAGCCGCGGUAAUACGGAGGAUCCGAGCGUUAUCCGGAUUUAUUGGGUUUAAAGGGAGCGUAGAUGGGUUGUUAAGUCAGUUGUGAAAGUUUGCGGCGCAACCGUAAAAUUGCAAUUGAUACUGGCAGUCUUGAGUACAGUUGAGGUAGGCGGAAUUCGUGGUGUAGCGGUGAAAUGCUUAGAUAUCACGAAGAACCCCGAUUGCGAAGGCAGCUUACUAAACUGUGACUGACAUUGAGGCUCGAAAGCGUGGGGAUCAAACAGGAUUAGAUACCCUAGUAGUC
rnacentral:rRNA from 1 species